ensembl:lncRNA
AUGUCUUCUCCCCCUUCAGCCUCAGCAGGAGCUAGAGCUAUAGGCAUGCGCCACUUUGUCCAGCUUCCAAGCUUUAUUUCUAUGGAUGGACUCAUAAACACAAACUGGCAGAGGAAAGGCAGAGAUGGAGCAAUUUCUCGAGAAGAUAUACCACUUCCUGUUUACCACAGUGAAGAUGUAAAGGCUACCCCUGCCAUAGAACAGCUGACUACGGAACAGCUGACUACACGUGGUACAGAUGGAAAACCUGUUCAGCCAGCUGGCUGGAGAUGUGAAAUCUCUUUUCAACAUGAGUUUUUACAUUUUUUUAACAGGCUCAGCAAGACUUUGACCAGGCUUUUCAAUUAUACUUCAUGUCUGAGGUGGAAUUAAAGGAGCUACAGCCCCCACCAGCUUUGUCUAAGGAGAUAACCAAAAAGGAAGAGCUUGGGCAAAGGUGGGGCAUCCCAAUGUAUUCCAGUUGUUUCAUAAUUUCAGUCUCUCUAUUUGUGGCAGAGUCCAACAAACAAUAAUGAAGACACUCAAUGCAAUUGAAGACUGCACAAAGGCUAAUUACUAAAGACCCCUCUUUUCUCUCUCCCUUUUUUCUCCCCUUUUCUCUCUUGUUCUUUCUUCCUUCCUUCCUUCCUUCCUUCCUUCCUUCCUUCCUUCCUUCCUUCCUUCCUUCCUCCCUUCCUUCCUUCCUUCCUUCCUUCCCUUUCUUUCUUUCCUUUUGCUUUUUUUUUGGUGUAUGCUGGUGUCUACAUGUUCACAUAUGUGCUGGUGAACAUGUUGUAUGUGGCCCUAUAUGUAUGUACAUAUGCAUGUAGAAGCCAGAGAUCAACUUUAAGUAUUAUUCCUUAGGAGUAGACUACCUUGUUUUGAGGUAGGGUCUCUUACUAAGACCUGGAGCUCACUGGUUUGGUUCGACUGCCUGACCAACAAGUCUCAGGGAUCACCGUGUUUCUGCCUCUCCGGCACUGGUAUUACAAGUAUGCCAUUGUGUGCAGCUUCUUGGGGGGGUUGGAAACUCAUGUCUUUAUGCUUGAAUGUUAGGCAUUUACUGACGAAAGUAUCUCGCAAGUCCCCUUUUCUUUUUCCUACUACCUUUGCCAAUUUUUUGUUUGUUUGUUUCAAGACAGGAUGUUUCUGAAUCCAUGGCUGUCCUGGAGCUUGCUUUGUACACCAGGCUGGAGUCAAACUCAGAGAUCUGCCCAAGUCUGCUGUGAUUAGAAGUGUUUGUCACCACACCCAUGUCCACUUCCCAAGUACUGACAUUAAAAGUACAUGCUACCACACUUGGCUCUUUUCAGGAGUUCUAGGAAUCAAAUUUUGAUCCUCAUGCUUGUGUAAUAAGCACAAUACUAAAUUAACCAUCUCCCCUGCCCUGUAUGGAGAAAGAAGUUCCAGAAUGUUUAUGUGUGAAUAUUGUAUUCCCUAUAAAGUUAGACCAGAGAGGUAUAACUUCAGAGAUGUUACCGGAGCAAAAUGGAGAAAUGUGUGAGGAAUUUGGCAAGAAUUUAUCUGGAUGUUUAAGAUUUCAUAAGAGAUGCCAAAAAAAGUCACAAUUACCUAUCUUAAGGUAAAUAAUUAUUGUUUUAUCAUGUCUUUCAUGUGCAUGCAUUGCUGUGUUCAUGUACAUGGGUACCUGUGUACACAUAAGCCUGUGCAUUCAAAGAUCAGAGGACAACCUUAGGUGUAAUUCUCAGGUGAUAUUUACUGUUUUGUUUGUUUGAGACAUGGUUUUUGUUGUUGUUGUUGUUUGUUUGUUUGUUUGUUUGUUUUCAAGACAGGGUUUCUCUGUGUAGCCCUGGCUGUCCGGGAACUCACUUUGUAGACCAGGCUGACCUCGAACUCAGAAAUCCGCCUGCCUCUGCCUCCCAAGUGCUGGGAUUAAAGGCAUGAACCACCACCACCUGGCGAGACAUGGUUUUUUUAAAACUAGCCUGGAACUCACCAAGUAUUCUUAUUGGCUAGCCAGUGAGCUGCAAGUCUUAUUUUCUCCAGUGUGGGAAUUAUAAGCACUACCAUGUCUGGCUUUUAAAAACUGAGUUCUGAAAAUUGGACUCAGGUCUUUAUGCUUGCCUAGCAAGCUGUUAGCAAUUGAGCUAGCUCCUGGCCCCGUUUUUGCACUCUUGAUUCUAAGGGUGUUCCUUAUAAAGGUUUACAAAUAAUUACUCAUCCAAUAUAUGUAACUAAUUCUUUAAUUUUCCUCAAUUCCAUUACUGUGGAUUUUUUGUAUGUAUAUGACAAUUAAACUAGGUUAGCUUUCUUUUACUAGUAAGAUAAAGAAAAUCCACUGAUGAAGGAAAACUUCUCAUUGAAUUGGAAGGUAAUGUUUAGAUAAUGGCAUAAUUUUGGGAAACUAUAGUCCAGUUAGGUUAAUUACUUCAUUAGUAUUUAAAUAGGGAAAGUGGCUCUUUCUAAGAAGUCCCAGAAAUUGAGAGGGGGGAGUGGAUGGGGGAAAGCUCUAUCUAUCCGUGAUCUUCCCAUGGCUUUCCAGCUUUUCGCCACUUCCUCAUUGCUGUCUUUCCUUUAACUCCCUCCAAGCCCAGAGACAGACUGUAAAUUUCUAGCCUCCUCCUUUAAGUCGUUAGCCACACUUUCAAGUAUUCCUUACAGGGCCUUUAUAAAACUGUUAUGCUAUUAAAAACCAGGAACUAACACUGAGAUGUUACAAGAAAAAAAAAUCACAGCCAUGCAAGCCUUACAGUCUUCUCAGGAGUAGGAGAAUGACAGUGGCUCAGACCAGAGGCAGAAUGACUUUUUUAGGGCAAAUGAGAAAGUGAUGUAAAAAACCCCAGAACUUUGCAGUAUUUUUGUGAUCAUGGGAAAGGUAUAUGUUAUGGGGUAUGGUCAGAAAUGUUAUGGGUUUUAAGUCAGAGAGUUACAUACCAUGAAACAUUAUAUGGUUAGUCAAUUCUCAGAACAAUGGAAACAAUUUACAAUGUGAAGUUCAAAAGAUUAUUGGGGAAGAACAAAAAUAAAUAAAAUUGACCUCUAGCUAAGGACA